AAGGAGAAGAACAUAAGAGUCAUCCGGUCGAUGAUGUGAUGGAGGAAGUGUCACUAACGCAAUAUUUAUAACUUUUGAAAUAUGUUAGGAAGUAACAAAUAAAGUCAACUUUGUUUAGGAUAGAGAAAAAAAAACUAAAAUAAUUUGAUAAAAUAUGACAAAGAACGAUAUAUUUAGAUGUGUGCGUUUCUUUAAAGGAAAGGUAUAACACCAAUAAGCUAUGUUACAAUCCAUGCUUGCUUAUCGAUUGCGUAUCAAUAGCCGUGUUUCGAGUUCCUCCGGAACACCCGGGAUUUUUCGUAUUUAGCCACGCCGGUCACGUGAUAUGAGCAAAAUGUUCCACAGGGGUACUUCCGGUUAAUUUUGUUUACACUGGUAACAAAAUUGUUUUUGACAAAAUAUAGAUUUUGCGGCACAAAUUGUCGCAAAUCAGAAAAAGGAUAGCAAGGGAUAUAUAUUUACUUAGGAAGAUGUCAAAGUUUACCUUUUCCCAAACUCGGGGAAAGCGUUCACGCAGAGGAAACGAUGGCGUCAUUUGUGUAGAAAACUACGGGCAGCUGAGAUUGAGUGCGAUUAUUACAUUCCAUGAAAGCUGAACAACAAAGAAACAUAAUUGUUCUAGCCAGUUUGCUUAUAUGAAGUUUUAGGAAAACGAAGAGGUUUGUACCGACUCUUUAAAAAUAUAAUAUAGACUGUGCAAAAUCUUGUCAAUCUUAAGAAUAGGUAUACUUGUACCCUCAUCCACAUCUGAGCAGUGUAUGUAUUUUACAACGGUGUUCAUGUGACAUUAAAUAGAGAAUUUCAAUUAUGAACUCAUGGUUCAGGCUCAUAAAAAUUAUGCAGGAAUUUCACAAGGGAGUGAGAGGGGGAGGGGGCAUAUAUAAUAUCUGCCAAUUAAAUAAAAUAUGAGAACACCAGAUAAUAUAUUCCUACGGAUCUAUUCUAGAAUUUGCAUGAUCAUUUAUUCAAGCUCCAUACCGAUGGUUCAUUCACUGCAAAAUUUUGAAUUGUAUCAAAGAACAUUGAUCUUUUCUUCAACUUUUAAUACCAAUCAAGCACAGGCAAUAUGAAUCGCUUGGGGUCGAAUUUACUCAACUUUUAAUACUAAUCAAGCACAGGCAAUAUGCAUCGCUUGGGGUCGAAUUUAAUAUUAAAGAAUACUCUUUAAUAGUAAAUUCGAACACAAGUGAUGCAUAUUGCCUGUUCAAUCAAGGUACUUUGUAUGUACAUCAGAUAUGCACAUUUCCACUCAAACCACUUGUAUACAAGGAUGAAACCAGUUGAACAUGAGCCAGGUUAUAUAUUUGCUCUCCUACCCCUUUGAUUCAGUACUGUGUAAGGAAAUAUACUAUUGAGUAUACAUAUUUUUUAAAAAGAAUAACAAAGAACAACAAUUUUCAUUCAUAUUUUAUUCAACAUAUAUAUACACAGGUUGAUAACAAUGGCUGAUCUGCAUAUAAUGACUGCUAGUUAUUGGCUGGUAUGCAGUGAAAGGGAGCUAAAAAGGAGUAAAAAGUUCAUAUCAGCCAGGUAGUGUGGCUUAAAUAAACCAGUGUUAAGGAAUACCCAGUAAUGGCAUGGCAUCAUGAGAGUUUGGCAUACCGAUAUUCAGAUGAUUAAUGAUGAAACUGAAGACCUCAAGUGAAAGGCAUGGAAAAUGAUCCUUUUCCCAUAAUGAUAUACCUGAAAAAGAGGAGGGAUGCCACAAUAUUGAUAGUAUACUUUUGUCAAUUUGAGAAGCAAAGAUGUAAAAAAAAAAAAUAAUAAAAACAUAAUGCUGAAAUUAUAAUUCAUGUAUUUGUUAAAAAUACUGUUCACUGCACAUACAUGUAUAUUUUUUUUUAACUUAUUUCGAAAUACAUGAAGUAAUUCAUAUUAAAACUGUGAAUGU